CCUACGGGUGGCAGCAGUGAGGAAUAUUGGUCAAUGGGCGGGAGCCUGAACCAGCCAAGUCGCGUGAAGGAAGAAGGUACUUAGUAUUGUAAACUUCUUUUGUCGGGGAACAAAGGCGGAGACGCGUCUCCGGAUGAGUGUACCCGAAGAAAAAGCAUCGGCUAACUCCGUGCCAGCAGCCGCGGUAAUACGGAGGAUGCGAGCGUUAUCCGGAAUUACUGGGUGUAAAGGGAGCGCAGGCGGGAAGCCAAGUCAGCUGUGAAAACUACGGGCUUAACUUGUAGACUGCAGUUGAAACUGGUUUUCUUGAGUGAAGUAGAGGUUGGCGGAAUGCCGAGUGUAGCGGUGAAAUGCGUAGAUAUUCGGAGGAACACCGGUGGCGAAGGCGGCCAACUGGGCUUUAACUGACGCUGAGGCUCGAAAGUGUGGGGAGCAAACAGGAUUAGAUACCCUUGUAGUC
rnacentral:rRNA from 1 species